CGGCUCGUAGCUCACCGGCAGAGCGAUCGGCUCACAACCGAUUGGUCGCAGGUUCGAAUCCCGCCGAGCCCA
rnacentral:tRNA from 1 species